CCUACGGGUGGCAGCAGUGGGGAAUAUUGGUCAAUGGGCGCGACCCUGAACCAGCCACGCAGCGUGAGGGAUGACUGCCCUACGGGUUGUAAGCUUCUUUUGUAAAGGAAUAAAGUAAGGCACGUGUGCCUUUUUGUCUGUACUUUAUGAAUAAGGAUCGGCUAACUCCGUGCCAGCGGCCGCGGUAAUACGGAGGAUCCGAGCGUUAUCCGGAUUUAUUGGGUUUAAAGGGAGCGUAGAUGGGUUGUUAAGUCAGUUGUGAAAGUUUGCGGCUCAACCGUAAAAUUGCAAUUGAUACUGGCAGUCUUGAGUACAGGUGAGGUAGGCGGAAUUCGUGGUGUAGCGGUGAAAUGCGUAGAUAUCACGAAGAACUCCGAUGGCGAAGGCAGCUUACUAAACUGCCACUGACAUUGAUGCUCGAAAGUGUGGGUAUCAAACAGGAUUAGAUACCCCUGUAGUC
rnacentral:rRNA from 1 species